CUUCCGGUCGACGAGGUACAUGUACCUUGUCGACUGGAAGGAAAUCCUUCCAGCCGGCGAGGUACAUGUACUUCGUCGACUGGAAAGAAAUCCUUCCAGCCGGCAAGGUACAUGUACCUCGUCGGCCGGAAG
rnacentral:miRNA from 1 species